rnacentral:rRNA from 1 species
AGCUUUAUGCCAUCACAUCAAGUAACUCCUGCUCAGUGAAUAUUAACAGCCGCAGAAUUUUAUACUGUGCUAAGGUAGCAUAAUCACUUGUCUUUUAAUUAAAGAAUAGAAUGAACGGAAAAACGAAUUUAAGCCUGUUUCACUUAUUUCUAAUAAAAUUACCAAAAAGUAACAAACCUUUUUUUUAAAAAAAAGACGAUAAGACCCUAAAGAACUUUACUAAAGUUACGCUGGGGCGGCUUUUUAAAAAAAUCUUAUAUAAAAAUUCUUAACUCCUUCAUUAAUUCCACAACGUUACCUUAGGGAUAACAGCAUAAUUUAAUUUUACAGCUCUUAUUUAAAAUUAAGAUUAUGACCUCGAUGUUGAAUUAAAAAUCUUUUACACGAAAAAAAUUAAAAAGAAAGUCUGUUCGACUUUUAAUUAUUUACA